AAGAAAGAAAACUUUGAAAAAAUAAUAACUGCCAACACUGCAGAUCUUCCUAAUCAGUUAUUGACAGAGAUAUCACUAAAGUAACUGCAUAACUAGUGGCCCCUCCCAACUAUGGGUGGCCUGAUGUUAGCCUUUUUCAGUAGAGGGUCCUGAAGAGGCACUAGAAGAGGAAGAAGAUUUUCUUCCUAGUUCUGUGUAUCUCUCUCUGCUUCUUCCUCAGGUAGUGUGUAGUAUAUUUUAUAGUACUCACCCCCAGAAAAUUUCAACAGCAUCACCUGAUGGAUGGCUUCCUGGUAAGGUCCCUGGCAUGGCAGAUUCCUAUGGGCAGCUUCCCCCAGAACUUCGUAGCAAAAUCCACCAGUGCAGAGCCUCCCUUAGGGAAGUUUUCCAACAUAUCACCCUUGUGAACAGCUUCCCAGCAGGAAGUACAACACCUCUCUGGAAGGUGGCUUUUCCUAGCAUCACAGAGGGCAGAUUCCUAAGUGUACCACCCUCAUGGACACCUUCCCAGUGAGUUCGAGCUCCACCAGCCUUGCAGCCCAGCAGACUUCUCUGCCAUGUAGUGAUGAAAGCUGCUCCCUCUUCAGAAGUUCUGCAUCUUAGCCCUGCGUUGCUGGGAGGGAAUGAUUGGGGAUAUUCAUAUUCUGAUUCCAUCCUAGGAGUUGAAGUUGUU
rnacentral:lncRNA from 1 species